rnacentral:rRNA from 1 species
CAGCAGCCGCGGUAAUACGGAGGGUCCGAGCGUUAUCCGGAAUUAUUGGGUUUAAAGGGUCCGCAGGCGGGCAAUUAAGUCAGGGGUGAAAUGGUACGGCUCAACCGUAGCACUGCCCUUGAUACUGGUUGUCUUGAGUCAUAGUGAAGUGGCCGGAAUAUGUAGUGUAGCGGUGAAAUGCAUAGAUAUUACAUAGAACACCGAUUGCGAAGGCAGGUCACUAACUAUCGACUGACGCUGAUGGACGAAAGCGUGGGGAGCGAACGGGAUUAGAUACCCCGGUAGUCCACGCCGUAAACGAUGGAUACUAGCUGUCCGCUGCCUUGAGCAGUGGGCGGCCAAGCGAAAGUGAUAAGUAUCCCACCUGGGGAGUACGUUCGCAAGAAUGAAACUCAAAGGAAUUGACGGGGGCCCGCACAACCGGUGGAGCAUGUGGUUUAAUUCGAUGAUACGCGAGGAACCUUACCAGGGCUUAAAUGCAUAAUGACAGGUCUAGAGAUAGACUUUUCUUCGGACAUUUUGCAAGGUGCUGCAUGGUUGUCGUCAGCUCGUGCCGUGAGGUGUCAGGUUAAGUC